AUGUCAUGGUGCGGACACUUGCGAAUGAGAUCCUCAUAUCGCUCCCAAGCCUCAUAGAACUGUUCAUUCCCAGCUUGUUGGAAAGUGGUGAUCUUCUGCCGAAGUUU